UAGGGAAUAUUAGAAAUGGACGAAAGUCUGAUCUAGCAACACCGCGUGUGCGAAGAAGGCCUUCGGGUUGUAAAGCACUUUUUGGAAGGAUUAGGAAGGAAUGUACUUCCAGAAUAAGUCUCGGCUAACUACGUGCCAGCAGCCGCGGUAACACGUAGGAGGCAAACGUUAUCCGGAUUUACUGGGCGUAAAGCGCGUGUAGGUGGUUCUGUAAGUAGGGCGUGAAAGCUCCUGGCUCAACUGGGAGAGGCCGUUCUAAACUGCAGAGCUAGAGGAUGGUAGAGGGAGGUGGAAUUCCGGGUGUAGCGGUGGAAUGCGCAGAUAUCCGUAGGAACACCAGUGGCGAAAGCGGCCUCCUGGGCCAUUUCUGACGCUAAGACGCGAAAGCUAGGGUAGCAAACG
rnacentral:rRNA from 1 species